rnacentral:rRNA from 1 species
AGAGUUUGAUCAUGGCUCAGGAUGAACGCUGGCGGCGCGCUUAACACAUGCAAGUCGAACGGAAAGGCCUCUAGCUUGCUAGAGGUACUCGAGUGGCGAACGGGUGAGUAACACGUGGGUGAUCUGCCCUGCACUGUGGGAUAAGCCUGGGAAACUGGGUCUAAUACCAUAUAGGACCGCACUUUGGAUGGUGUGUGGAAAGCUUUUGCGGUGUGGGAUGAGCCUGCGGCCUAUCAGCUUGUUGGUGGGGUAAUGGCCUACCAAGGCGGCGACGGGUAUCCGGCCUGAGAGGGUGUACGGACACAUUGGGACUGAGAUACGGCCCAGACUCCUACGGGAGGCAGCAGUGGGGAAUAUUGCACAAUGGGCGCAAGCCUGAUGCAGCGACGCCGCGUGGGGGAUGAAGGCCUUCGGGUUGUAAACUCCUUUCGCUAUCGACGAAGCCACUUUGUGGUGACGGUAGGUAGAUAAGAAGCACCGGCUAACUACGUGCCAGCAGCCGCGGUAAUACGUAGGGUGCAAGCGUUGUCCGGAAUUACUGGGCGUAAAGAGCUCGUAGGUGGUUUGUCGCGUCGUCUGUGAAAUCCCGGGGCUUAACUUCGGGCGUGCAGGCGAUACGGGCAUAACUUGAGUGCUGUAGGGGAGACUGGAAUUCCUGGUGUAGCGGUGAAAUGCGCAGAUAUCAGGAGGAACACCGAUGGCGAAGGCAGGUCUCUGGGCAGUUACUGACGCUGAGGAGCGAAAGCAUGGGUAGCGAACAGGAUUAGAUACCCUGGUAGUCC